rnacentral:lncRNA from 1 species
GUAGCUCAAGAAAAUAAACUUAUUCUUUGAUCUCUCUAUGACAAUUGAGAAAAACACCUUCAUCCAGGUAAAUCACACUAGUUUAAAAAUUUGGAGAGGAUCUUGAGAUUAGAUUAGCUUUUGUUAAUAUGAGAGUUAGCCAUCAAUAUACGGUUGGUCCAAAACUAAGGAAAUCUACUCUAAUUAUGAUGGUAUGAAUUCC